rnacentral:lncRNA from 1 species
CAAAGACAUGUUUCCAACCUGCUUACAUGGUGGUUGAGCCAAUGAGAUCUGAAUUCAAGUAGAGGAAAAUGCUAUCAACAAAGGAAAUAUUCCAGAGCAGCCAUCUAAUAUCCUGGGAGAUCAAGACAGCUAGAGAGAAUCACAGCAAAUGCGGGCUGAUUUGACACAAUACAGAAGGAUCAUUGAGUCAGCAGUUAAAACAAAAUCACUAAUUUUCCAGGGUUGACUUCAGCUGUGGAGAUCUACAUGCUAGAAAAAGUGCGGGUGUUUAUUUCUUCCAGGCAGCUUCCCUGAGAAUGGUUACAUUUGCCGGUUCUCAACUGCACCAUGGAGCAUAAUGUGUCAUUUGAAGUGUAGUUUAUCCUAAAGUGCUGCUUUAAAAAGAUAUUAGGAAUGGAGAUGCAGGAACGCAUACAAAAGAGGAAAAUUCAAG